UGGAAGAUACAAAAAAUCUUUUCUGCAUCUGGCUGAAAGAAGUUGUAAGAUCUUUACAAAUCAGAGCAUAUUAUUAACAUUCAAAUUAAAAAAUAUUGUCAUGAAUUUUUUGCCAUUUACAUAGGGAGUUCCAGCUCAGCUGAAGACCUGCAUCAAAAUACUUUGGGACUUUCAUUCCUGCAUGCCUGUUUGAUGUUUUGGUGCUCCUAUGGUUAGUAGAUGCCCUCUUGCUGAACCUGGGGAAGAACAUGUGAGUGACAGUGGCAACAGUCAUACAACCAGGUGAUACAAUCUGCUGGCCACAAAACAGCAAACCUGGCUAUGUAGAGUAGACAGGUUUUGGGGAACGUAGACAACAGGAAUCAAAUCAUUCAAAGAGUUCAUUGUCUGAUCAUCCAUUUGAAGAAAGCUUCAACAUUUUUUACGUGCUGGUUGUAUUAACAGAUUAUUUUUUAUUUUUUUGCCUAUUAAGAUGGGCCCACGUCCAAAUUGCGACAUCCUGAAUUGUGUGUGAGCUAAAUCUGGUUACAGAUACAAAUCUGAAUAUUAUGAGCAGGGUGGAGUUGAGCUAAAGAUCUGACUCCCUCGGCCUUGUGACUUGGAUGUGACAUGAGUUUGGCAUGUCCAAGCUAACCCUAUUUUUUUACCUAGCUCCUGAAUAAAUUGGAAACUUAAAAAGGCACUGUCAUGUUUUGUAUCUGAAACCAUAAGGUGGUCUUAAGCUGCCUGCAGUGCUGUAAAUUUGAGUUUCUUUUGUUGCUGUUGUUAUUCAUUGGGAAAGAAUGCGGCCCGGUUUCCAGUGACAGAGGGUGUGAAAUGGUAUAAAGUAGAAGUAAAAGGUGGAUUAUUUUGAAGAGACAAAAAAAACAAACCAAAACAAAAC
rnacentral:lncRNA from 1 species